rnacentral:rRNA from 1 species
UACAGAGGUCUCAAGCGUUGUUCGGAUUCAUUGGGCGUAAAGGGUGCGUAGGCGGCGCGGUAAGUCGGGUGUGAAAUCUCGGGGCUUAACUCCGAAACUGCAUUCGAUACUGCCGUGCUUGAGGACUGGAGAGGAGACUGGAAUUUACGGUGUAGCGGUGAAAUGCGUAGAUAUCGUAAGGAAGACCAGUGGCGAAGGCGGGUCUCUGGGCCGAUACUGACGCUGAGGAGCGAAAGCGUGGGGAGCGAACAGG